UCAGGGGUAGGGGAGCGUUGUGUAUGCGUUGAAGGUGUACCGUAAGGAGCGCUGGAAGCAUACAAGUGAGAAUGCCGGUAUGAGUAACGAAAAGAUCAGUGAGAAUCUGAUCCGCCGAAAGCCCAAGGUUUCCUGAGGAAGGCUCGUCCGCUCAGGGUAAGUCGGGACCUAAGGCGAGGCCGAAAGGCGUAGUCGAAGGACAACAGGUUGAAAUUCCUGUACCACCGUAAACCGUUAUGAACGAUGGGGUGACGCAGGAGGGUAGUGACGCGGACUGAUGGAUGUCCGUCCAAGCAGUGAGGCUGAUGUGUAGGCAAAUCCGCACAUCGUAAGGCUGGGCUGUGAUGGGGAGUGAAAAUUACAGUAGCGAAGGUCAUGAUCUCACACUGCCAAGAAAAGCCUCUAGUCAGGUGAAGGUGCCCGUACCGCAAACCGACACAGGUAGGCGAGAAGAGAAUUCUAAGGCGCGCGGAAGAACUCUCGUUAAGGAACUCGGCAAAAUGACCCCGUAACUUCGGGAGAAGGGGUGCCUCGGUAGGGUGAAUAGCCCGAGGGGGCCGCAGUGAAAAGGCCCAAGCGACUGUUUAGCAAAAACACAGGUCUGUGCGAAGCCGCAAGGCGAAGUAUACGGGCUGACGCCUGCCCGGUGCUGGAAGGUUAAGGGGAGCGGUUAGGGGUUAAACCCGAAGCUGUGAACCGAAGCCCCAGUAAACGGCGGCCGUAACUAUAACGGUCCUAAGGUAGCGAAAUUCCUUGUCAGGUAAAUUCUGACCCGCACGAAUGGCGUAACGACUUGGGCGCUGUCUCAACGAGAGAUCCGGUGAAAUUUUAAUACCUGUGAAGAUGCAGGUUACCCGCGACAAGACGGAAAGACCCCAUGGAGCUUUACUGCAGCUUGAUAUUGGAUUUGGGUACGAUCUGUACAGGAUAGGUGGGAGCCUAAGAAGCAUGAGCGCCAGCUUGUGUGGAGGCGACGUUGGGAUACCACCCUGAUCGUAUCUAGGUUCUAACCUGGUACCGUGAUCCGGUACGGGGACAGUGUCAGGCGGGCAGUUUGACUGGGGCGGUCGCCUCCUAAAGAGUAACGGAGGCGCCCCAAGGUUCCCUCAGAAUGGUUGGAAAUCAUUCGAAGAGUGCAAAGGCAUAAGGGAGCUUGACUGCGAGACCUACAAGUCGAGCAGGGACGAAAGUCGGGCUUAGUGAUCCGGUGGUACCGCAUGGAAGGGCCAUCGCUCAACGGAUAAAAGCUACCCUGGGGAUAACAGGCUUAUCUCCCCCAAGAGUCCACAUCGACGGGGAGGUUUGGCACCUCGAUGUCGGCUCAUCGCAUCCUGGGGCUGAAGUAGGUCCCAAGGGUUGGGCUGUUCGCCCAUUAAAGCGGUACGCGAGCUGGGUUCAGAACGUCGUGAGACAGUUCGGUCCCUAUCUGUCGUGGGCGUAGGAAAUUUGAGAGGAGCUGUCCUUAGUACGAGAGGACCGGGAUGGACGUACCGCUGGUGCACCAGUUGUUCCGCCAGGAGCAUGGCUGGGUAGCUACGUACGGACGGGAUAAGCGCUGAAAGCAUCUAAGCGUGAAGCCCCCCUCAAGAUGAGAUUUCCCAGUAUGUAAGACCCCUUGAAGACGACGAGGUAGAUAGGUUGGAGGUGGAAGUGCAGCAAUGCAUGGAGCUGACCAAUACUAAUCGGUCGAGGGCUUAUCCUA
rnacentral:rRNA from 1 species